rnacentral:rRNA from 1 species
GACGAACGCUGGCGGCGUGCUUAACACAUGCAAGUCGAACGGAAAGGCCUGCUUUCCCUUGUGGAUUGCGGGUACUCGAGUGGCGAACGGGUGAGUAACACGUGAGUGAUCUGCCCCCAACUUGGGUAUAAGCCUGGGAAACUGGGUCUAAUUCCCGAUAGGACUGCAGGGUGGUGCCUGUGGUGGAAAACGAUUUUCUAGUGGUUGGGGAUGAGCUCGCGGCCUAUCAGCUUGUUGGUGGGGUACUGGCCUACCAAGGCGGCGACAGGUAGCCGGCCUGAGAGGGUGGACGGGCACAGUGGGCCUGAGAUACGGCCCAGACUCCUACGGGCGGCAGCAGUGGGGAAUAAUGCACGAUGGGCGGAAGCCUGAUGCAGCGACGCCGAGUGGGGGAUGACGGCCUUCGGGUUGUAAACUCCUUUCGACCGCGAGGAAGCCACCUGGUUGGAAGGGUGGUGACGGUAGUGGUAGAAGAAGCACCGGCUAACUACGUG